AAAUUUUAGCAAGCACAUUGUCUUGUUUGUUUGUUUUUUUCUUUUUUGUAUACAGUAUUCCUAUUGUGACAAGUUAAAAAUUGCAAAUUUUUUGGGGUGUGUGUGUAUAGACUGCCAUAUUAAUAACAAAUUUUGCUUUGAGAACCCCAUCUCCCGAAAUUGUUGAAAGAGCGACACUUUUGACGGUGAAGCGCAUGUGCCUUACCUACUGUAUCAUCGAGUCUUAAGACAUCUGAUUGGAGAUUUGCUUUCGGAAUAUCAAUCAUGUGUUUUGCAUGUGAUGGAUGUCACUUGGGACUCGCUGAACUAAGUUAGUAAACAACGCUGGACCAGACCUUGUCUGCAAUUUUGCUUGUUUUGCCGUCUGCAUUUGCUUUUUGCUUGUCUGCAGAUUUCAUGUGCGCUUUACAAAGAUGUGUUUCGUCCAGCUCUUGUGGCCUCUGGUGAAAUUUGAGCUUCAAUUUCAGUACAAUAUAUUUGUUAUAUACUGCAUAUGUAACAAUGUGUAUAGUGCCUGUGCAUUUUGGUCAAGACUGUGAAUGUCAAGCUGGAAAACAAAUAAACAAAACAUUGAAUGGAAAAGAAGAUGGAAUGGAAGGUUUCAACUGAACAGUUGUCUCAAUUUGCCCUAAAUAAAUCUAUCUUAUAUACCUAGACAUCUAUCCGGCACAAGUGGUUAUCAUACCGCUAUCUCCCUCACAGGUUUUGUGCUGUGGAUUUGCAUUGCGAGUGCUCAGGCGACCUCUAGUAUUCCAAAACCAUGCAUCUUAAACGUCCAUAAGAAACAGAAUUUUGGAUGGAGUUCUAUGACACUUGCACAAUGGGAGUUGAAGUUAAAGAACCCUUUAGCAGGCAUGACUUUCAGUGUGAAAAAUGGCUGAGUCGAUCUUGAGUGUGUGUUACAGGCUGGAAACAAGCUGGUUAUUUCCUGGUGAAACUUGCAAUACCAUUUCUGGAUGAGGUGUUGUAUGCCUUGACAACCAGAAGCUUCAGUUGAUUUACUUUAAUGUAUGUGUGUGACAUGAAGAAGGAUCUAUGCUUUCCUCCGCCAUCCACAGUCUCACACAUGUGGACGUGGAUUGAAGCUUAAAUUCUCUUAUAUCGUUAUUUAAACGGGCUAAAAAAAACCUCAGUGCACACAGGCAGUUUUUGUACACACUGCAAUAUGCACACAUGUCAUCAAACCACAUGUACAGUGCACAACGUGUAACAAGUGUAACAUUUUGUGUGUAAAACGACAAAGAAAAUGGGGGUGGGGAAAAAACUCAGAAAACAAUUCUUAAAAAGAAUUAGAAGACAUUACACAUUGAUUGCCACAUUGGAAUGACAACUCUGCAUUAAAUAUAAAUAACAU